AUACAGAGGGUGCGAGCGUUGUUCGGAAUUAUUGGGCGUAAAGCGCGCGCAGGCGGGAUUGCAAGUCGGAUGUGAAAGCCCUCGGCUCAACCGAGGAAGUGCGUUCGAAACUGCAGUUCUUGAGUGUCGGAGAGGGUGGCGGAAUUCCCGGUGUAGAGGUGAAAUUCGUAGAUAUCGGGAGGAACACCAGAGGCGAAGGCGGCCACCUGGACGAACACUGACGCUGAGGCGCGAAAGCGUGGGGAGCAAACAGGAUUAGAUACCCUGGUAGUCCACGCCGUAAACGACGAGAGCUAGCUGUUGCGGGUGUUGACCCCUGCAGUGGCGCAGCCAACGCAUUAAGCUCUCCGCCUGGGAAGUACGGCCGCAAGGCUAAA
rnacentral:rRNA from 1 species